CGUUGAAACACCGGUUCCCGUACGAUCACCGAAGUUAAGCAAUGCCGAGCCUACUCCUUAUCUUGAUGGGUAACCACUUGGAAAUACCAGGUGUUGUAA